UCCUAUAAAUUUCCAUUUGCCAGCGGAGAGAGAGAGAAACCGCCAAAUGGGUACUGUGAAGUCUUACGAUGCUAACCCGUAUAUGGUUUCUGCUUCCUGUAGAUUGAUUAUUUCUCUUUACUGAACAGAGGGGGUUUGAGGAGACUUGCUUCAGAAGUGAUGUAUCUUGGAAAUUGACGCUUUUGCUUUUGCUUGGUAGUUUUUGUGCUGGAAUGUUUUUCGUUAACAGGAUCUGGGCGGUGCCUGAAGCCAAAGAUGAUAGAAGAAACUUAGUUUCUGAGAAUUUUAUUCAACUUAAGUCGAUGGGGUUGCAGAUUGCGAAGUGACUGCUCAAAGUGGUGACAUCUGUGUUGCUACAUUUGAUCCAAGAUGUGGUGGGCUCUGCAGUUCUUCUGAGAGGAUCAAGGAAGUUCAUAACCGGUGCGGAGAGGAUACAUAUGAGAAUGCUUUAUGGAUUUCAUUCUACUGAGCGAUGCACAGCAGUUCUUCCAAAUUGAGGAAAGAAACUCUAGAGUAAGCAGGCAGAUGGUCUUUUUCAAUAUGAUUCAAUGAAUGCUGAGCAAAACUGCGAGACACCCCUUCUUGAGAGGUGAUUGCAACAGUAGCUAAAGAUAUCUCAAGAUGAAGUACAGCCUUUUAGUUCAAUCCUGUUGAUGUCAGAAGAGUGGGUGAGGAAGGGAUUGCUGUGGGGGGCCAGCUCUCUCUAUUUUAGCUGAUGAGGAGGAGCUAGACGAGCCCAACGCAAUGUGGACUGCAGAACGAUUACUAUAGGUGUCUCUUCAACGGCCAUUGAACUCGAUGUUCAUAACAUCUGCUAGUGGUGUCUAUGAGAGCCUAACUUGAGCUUUUGGAGAAAGAGAAAUCGUACUUAAGCUAACGGACACAACCCUCGUUCCAGGUAAUGAGAUGUGUAGCUUUGAAAUCCUGUGACAACAGUUAUGGCAUUUUCUGAUUGAAAAUACAUAACAAGAAAAUGAAUGAUUCCUGUGCUGAAAAAAGAAUUCAAUCUACCGUCCUCAUUCAUCUACAUGAGUUGAAAGUUAUAGAUUAGUGACCAUUUUCAUGCAUGCUCAGUUGAACAAAUCAGAAGCUCACUUAUAUAUCUAUCUUCGAUUUUAAACAGCAAAUAAUUUCAUUCUGCCAAAUUUCAAGUUAAAAUAGCUAAUCAUUUAACACACACACACUUUUUUUUUUUUUUUUUUUUUGAUAAGUAAUCAUUUAACACACACACACACACACACGCAUACAUCUAGUGGAAUUAGGUAUAUCUUUAGUGUGUGAGUGAAAUAUCCACAGCUCCGUGAAGCAUAUUCAUGUUCGAAGUAAACAAGAAUCCUAAAAUUGAACUAAUAUUGUAUAUUUCAUCCAUAUGCAUGGUUUGGCCUUUAAUGAUUUAUACUAAAUAACUGCACAUUUGGAAAUUAUGCUGUUCCUAACAGAGUAUUUUUUAACUUCUAGGGAAAAUUGCAUAAUACCCCCUGAACUCAUACUUUUUUUGCCCGAAAGCCCCUAAAUUAUUUUUUGACAGAGGAUUCCUAAAUUAUUCAAACCCCUACUUUAGCUAGCCGUUAAGAAGUAAACAAAAUGUGUCACAUGCUUCAAUGUGACUAUUACUAAUUUAUGUAAUGAUUGAAAUGCCCAUUUGGAGGACCAAAAUGCCCUUGACUUAUUUAACUAUAAACCCCAAUCUCCAAUCAUCUGCAACAAAUUUCUUGUGAGGGCAAUACUUAGGACUAAUAGUUUCUAAUUAACUAAACCUAACAACAACUCAUCGUUAAACAACUUGCCAUGAAUAAGCAAUUACAGUACACAAAACCCUAAUCUGAUCAGCAUGCAGAAACUAUUAUAGCACACAAAGAAAACAGUUUUUGUUUUUGUUUUUUUUGUUUUAACUGUGUUCAAAAUAAUUGUUCAUGGAAAGGAAUGUACAAUCUUUCUUAACUUCCAUAUCAGUGUACCUUAAAAAUCAUUGAAAUUCUUCAGAAAAUGUACAAAAUUUGAUUGAAAAUAAAAUGCAUGGGGUGGCAUAUUAAUAACUGCAUUCAUAAACCUAUACAUAAACUAGGAAAAAAAAACCCGGAUAUAUAUGAUCAGCUACUUAUAACUAUAUAUAGGCUGUAUAUUUAAGUUGCAGUAAUUAACACUUCAAUUAGAAGAUUUAAUUUGAUAGGUUGGAUCGAUAGCAACAACCGUGUGGUAAGAAAUUAUCCAAAAAAAACCCUUGUGGUAAGAUGCAAUGAGUGCAAUUCUGAUGAUUUUCAUAAAAUUGAAGUAAGGCAUGGAUCACAAUGUGCUACGCAUUUCUCAUCCAAGAAAAGAAAAUUGUUAAUGUGCAUGCAUGUACUUGAAAGUGCUAUUUUUGUCUUUUGACAUAGCUUUAGCAAUAAUGAGAUUAAGAACAUAUAUAGAAUCUUUCACCCACCUAAACCACUUUGUCAAUUAAAAGUGAGGACCUUUAUGCAUACAUACAUACAUACAUAUAUAUAUGUAUAUAUCGGAAAUAUCUCUUGCACAUGAGUGAACAAGAAAUUUAUCCACACUGAGCCAUGCAUACUGACUUUGGAUAUGAUUUUUUUUUUUGUUGAUAACUUCUUAUUUUACACUUGAAUCAUAUCCAACUGUUAUUAUACAUUUGAAUAAAUUUCUUGCUCACUAGUGUACAACCGAUCAUUUCCGAUAUAUACCCCAGAAUUGGUACAUUUGACAUGGUUUUUCACUACUCCUAUUCACUCU